GGUACACAAACGUGCCGUGGGCUCCGAGUGGAGCCCGCUGUCCACCCCGCACGACAGCCUGUUUGACGGGCAUUACUCGGCCAGCCUGAGCUAGAGGAAGACCUGCCACGGUGGUUCGCUCCUUUUACUUCCUGCCUGGAAUUAUGAUGCAGCUGUCAUCCUUUUGUCGGAAUCUGUCCUGUGGAGGUCUAAGCACAGCGUUCAGUGUUUGGUCUCUUUCCACCGCGAGUUCCUGUGAGCAAACUUGGGUUAUCAGUCUUGCCUAGCAAACAGUUUUACCAGCUGAGUCAUCUCAAUUUAAAAAAAAAAAAAAAAAGAAAGAAAACCUGUCACUUUAGCCAGGUGUAGUGGUUCAUGCCUGUAAUCCCAGCCCUCAAAAGGCUGAGGCAGGAAAACUGCCAAGUGUUCAAGACCAACUUAAAAGAUUUAACUGGUGUUCCAGAAAUGGUUUCUGUGGUUUAAAGCACGGGCUGCUCUUCCAGAGGCCCUGGGUUCACUUUCUAGCACCGAUGUGGCAGCAGCUCACAGCUGUCUGUAACUCCAAUUCCAUGGCUCCGAUGCCCUCUUCUGGUCUCUGUGGGUGCCAGGUACAUAUACGUUUUACAGACAUGCAUGCAGGCAGAUUUAUUAUGUAUACAGUGUUCUGCCUGCUUAUAUACUUGCACACCGGAAGAGGGCACCAGAUCUCAUUACAGAUGACUGUGAGCCACCAUGUGGUUGCUGGGAAUUGAACUCAGGACCUCUGGAAGAGCAGUCAGUGCUCCCAACCUCUGAGCCAUCUCUCCAGCCUUCAAGUAUUUUUAAUUAAAAGAUGUAAUUGACUUGGAAGGGCAGCUUGGGAAAGAUAGCUGCCAUUUCACUAAUUUGUUCAUAAAAUGAAGGCUUAAUUUUUGUUUGUUGCCAUGCUAGGAAUCUAACCCAGGACCCAAGUCACACUUCCGGCUCUAGUUUGUAGUUUUUAUCUUACGUGUAUGGGUAUUUCGCCUACAUAUAUGUGCAAAACACUCACAUGCCUAGUGCCUGUGAAGCCCAGAAGGUAUACAGAGAACCCACAAGAAAUUGGAGUUACAGACAGUUGUGAGCCACUGUGUGGGUCCUGGGAACCUCACUGUCCUCUGGAAGAGCAGCCAGUGCUUUUUAAAGCCCACAUAAACAGAAGCUUAUUUGGAGCUGAUUUUUUUUUUUCAAGACAGGGGUUUUUUUCUCUGUGUAGCUUUGGAGCCUAUCCUGGCACUCGCUCUGGAGACCAGGCUGGCCUCGAACUCACAGAGAUCCACCUGCCUCUGCCUCCCGAGUGCUGUGAUUAAAGGCGUGCGCCACCUGUGUGGUGCUUGCCACUAUACACCUUGAGGCCAACCUCAUCAUUUCUAAGAAUCUAAGUUUCCAGAGGCCAGAAUGGUGGAGUGAAGUAAACACGGGCUUGCUGACACUACAGUCCACUGGGCCAUGAGACAGGAAAAGGAAAUAGAAGAAAAUCUAACCUGGCCUCUAGGCAAGUGACAGCAAGUAAAUGUUACUUGUUCAAAGCUGUAUGUCGGAGCUGCCACUGGGGGCCACGAAGAACCUUCAUUUCACAACCAGAAGAUCUGGACUUCUUCCAGGUCACAAAUACUGAGUGCACUCACUGGAUCCAGGAUCUCAUGAGCCAGGAGCCUUGGGGUGGUGCAGAAAGAGGCAGUUCUACACACAGACAUACUUGGGACAGCAUCUGCCAUGCCUUCCAUAUGAUAUAAGCAUUCUUCUGUGGGAAACACAUUUCCCCAGCUGGGUGCUGUGCAGACUGUUGGUGUCUGCCCCACUUGAGGACACUGAGAAGGCAGCUGCAGAUAGCCUGCAAAGAUGCAGGUCCCCACAGUUACUGCAGCUCACAAAUAUGGCUCCUGGAGUGUGCAAGUCUGUAGUAGAACCCAUGCAAGAGUCUAAGAGGAGAUUGAGAAACACUGGGUAGGCUGCAGUAGUCACCUUGGCCUCUGACCUAUGUGGACUACACUGUGGAUGGUUUCUGUGUAGUUUUCAGCUUCCACCAGGGAAGUCAAUUCUAGCAGUCCUGUGGGAAAAGAAGAAGCCCUGAGCUGGGGGUGUGACCCAGUGGCUGAGUGAUCUCUAGCAUUUUUAAACAAAAACAACAAAAGCCCCACUGUAUAAAACAACCCAGAAACCCUAUGAGUCUUUAAUGGUGAGAGAAUGCUGGCUCACAGCCCUGAGUACAACAACCAAGCCACACAGGUUUGACUAUGCUCUUCACCUGGGGGAGGAAGAGAGAGGUUUUCCAGAGGGUAACAGCACCUGAAAAUAUGUCCACAUCCUUAUUUGCAAGGAAAUGUAGAUGAAAACUCACCUUUGAGAACAGGCACAGAGAAGAAGCAAUGAGAGUACCAGGGCUGGAGGUCUUUAAUACUAGGAAUGUAAAAUGGCACAGCCACUGGGGAGCUGACUUUGGCAGGUGUAACUUACUUCCAUUUGUCUUAUUAAUAGACAAUUCUUCAGAAUAAUUUCAGGUUCACAAGAGAACCGAGCAAAAAAGUACAGACAGUUCACACUCUCCUGCCGCCUGUACCAACUUCUAGGCUGCACCUUCCAGAGGUGGGUUUGUUGGAACCAGUAAGCUUUCCCCCACAACUCAUGUUCCUCCAAGUCGACAGUGUAUGGGGAAUAUGGCAGGGCACCUUCUCCAGAGGGCUUAGUCCCGCGCAUGAGGGAAGCCCUCCCCCCAUGCCUCCUCAUCUCUUACAGGCCCUGCCUAGCAAUGCUAUCACAUGGGUACCGCUAAACCAUACCAACAUGGUACAGUCUGUGUACUGCUGUUGAGACAGUCUCCACAUACCCUAGACUGGACUCCAACAAAUCUUCAUCUUCCUUUGUAAGCUUUCCUGGAUGUUUCCUGGAAGUUACCUGGGGUUACAGGUAUCCCACUGUGCCUGGCACGCUCCCUAUUUAUACUGAUAUGCACACACCGUACCAGCACCAGAGCUCACAAUUCACCUGCACCCCAAGCCCUUCCCUCUUGCUUUACCAAAAAUCAUGCUGUAUUUUAGUGCACUGUGGCCCUAUUUAAAGGAACUUCUCUCAAAGUUCCGCCCCUCCCCAUAGGGUUUCUCUGUGUAACAGUUCUGGCUGUCCCGGAAUUUACUCUGUAGCCCAGGCUGUCCUGAAACUUGAGAUCCACCCACCUCUGCCUCCAGAGUGCUGGGAUUAAAGGUGUACGCCACCACCACCUGGCAUUUCUUUCCAAGUUUCAAAAAAAUAAUUUUUGAAAAAUGUGUGUGGAAUUUUGCCUGAUGUAUGUAGGUGCACCUUGUAACUGUAGUUCUACGUUCCUGUGAGCUGCUAUGUAGGUGCUGGGAACCAAAUUUUUGUCUACUGAACUGUCUCUCUCCAACUACCGCCCAUUCAAUGGUGUAACUAUGCCAAGGCCUGUGUGUGGAAGUCAGAGCAACUGUCAGAAGUUCAGGAGUUAGUCUGUCUCUUCUUCCACCAUGUGAAUCCUGGGGAUGGAACUCAGAUCACAGGUCAGGGGGACAAAUGCCUUUACCCACUGAGCCAUCUCAUGGACCUCCCCACAUCAUUUCAUGGCUUGUAGUCUCCUCUCUAACACUAACAUUUGGUGGUCUGGAUGGAUGUACUUCUGAUCACUCACUUGCUGAAGAUCAUGGUUCUAUUUUUUUUAUUUUUUAAUUAUUUAUUUAUAUUUUAUGUGCGAGUGCUCUGCAUGUACACCUGUACACCAGAAGACGGCACCAGCUCUCAUUCCGGAUGGUUGUGACCACCAUGUGGUUGCUGGGAAUUGGAACGCAGGACCUCUGGAAGAGUAGCCAGUGCUCUCAACCGCUGAGCCAUCUCUCAAGCUCGAGAUCAUGGUUUCUAACAAAUACUUGUCAUUACGAUUCCAGCUACUGUAAGAAUCUAUGUGCAAGCUUGUCUGGAUGUAAUGCUGUUUAGGAGCCUGGACACAGGAAAAAUUCCUUCUCAUUCAGAAGCCUGGACACAGGAAGAAUUCCUUCUCAUUCAGAAGCCUGGACACAGGAAGAAUUCCUUCUUAUUCAGAAGGGCCUGAUGUAGUGACUCACACUCGAU